UACGGAGGGGGCUAGCGUUGUUCGGAAUUAUUGGGCGUAAAGAGCGCGUAGGUGGCUUUGUAAGUUGGAAGUGAAAGCCCAGAGCUUAACUUUGGAAUUGCUUUCAAAACUACUAAGCUUGAGUAUGAUAGAGGGUGAUGGAAUUCCUAGUGUAGAGGUGAAAUUCUUAGAUAUUAGGAGGAACACCAAUGGCGAAAGCA
rnacentral:rRNA from 1 species